rnacentral:rRNA from 1 species
AUUGAACGCUGGCGGCAGGCCUAACACAUGCAAGUCGAGCGAGCGGCGGACGGGUGAGCACUGCCCGGGAAACUGCCUGUUGGAGGGGGAUAUCUACUGGAAACGUUAGCUAAUACCGCAUACCAUCAGAUGUGCUAAGAUGGGAUUGGCUAGUAGGUGGGGUAACGGCUCACCUAGGCGACGAACCCUAGCUGGUCUGAGAGGAUGACCAGCCACACGGGAACUGAGACACGGUCCAGACUCCUACGGGAGGCAGCAGUGGGGAAUAUUGCACAAUGGGCGCAAGCCUGAUGCAGCCAUGCCGCGUGUAUGAAGAAGGCCUUCGGGUUGUAAGGUACUUUCAGCGGGGAGGCGUUACCCGCAGAAGAAGCACCGGCUAACUCCGUGCCAGCAGCCGCGGUAAUUC